CGAAUGCUGACAUAAGUAACGAUAAAGCGGGUGAAAAGCCCGCUCGCCGGAAGACCAAGGGUUCCUGUCCAACGUUAAUCGGGGCAGGGUGAGUCGACCCCUAAGGCGAGGCCGAAAGGCGUAGUCGAUGGGAAACAGGUUAAUAUUCCUGUACUUGGUGUUACUGCGAAGGGGGGACGGAGAAGGCUAUGUUGGCCGGGCGACGGUUGUCCCGGUUUAAGCGUGUAGGCUGGUUUUCCAGGCAAAUCCGGAAAAUCAAGGCUGAGGCGUGAUGACGAGGCACUACGGUGCUGAAGCAACAAAUGCCCUGCUUCCAGGAAAAGCCUCUAAGCAUCAGGUAACAUCAAAUCGUACCCCAAACCGACACAGGUGGUCAGGUAGAGAAUACCAAGGCGCUUGAGAGAACUCGGGUGAAGGAACUAGGCAAAAUGGUGCCGUAACUUCGGGAGAAGGCACGCUGAUAUGUAGGUGAGGUCCCUCGCGGAUGGAGCUGAAAUCAGUCGAAGAUACCAGCUGGCUGCAACUGUUUAUUAAAAACACAGCACUGUGCAAACACGAAAGUGGACGUAUACGGUGUGACGCCUGCCCGGUGCCGGAAGGUUAAUUGAUGGGGUUAGCGCAAGCGAAGCUCUUGAUCGAAG
rnacentral:rRNA from 1 species